UCUCCGUUGGUGAACCAGCGGAGGGAUCAUUACUGAGUGGGGGUUUAACCGCCCGACCUCCAACCCUUUGUGAAUCGUACUCGUUGCUUCGGGGGCGACCCUGCCGUCCGCGGCGCGGCGCCCCCGGGGGAAAUCAAACACUGCAUUCUCUGCGUCGGAGUAUUAGUAAAUCUAAUCAAAACUUUCAACAACGGAUCUCUUGGUUCUGGCAUCGAUGAAGAACGCAGC
rnacentral:misc_RNA from 1 species